GAUGAACGCUGGCGGCGUGCCUAAUACAUGCAAGUCGAGCGAACGGACGAGAAGCUUGCUUCUCUGAUGUUAGCGGCGGACGGGUGAGUAACACGUGGAUAACCUACCUAUAAGACUGGGAUAACUUCGGGAAACCGGAGCUAAUAGCGGAUAAUAUUUUGAACCGCAUGGUUCAAAGGUGAAAGACGGUCUUGCUGUAACGUAUAGAUGGAUCCGCGCUUCAUUAGCUAGUUGGUAAGGUAACGGCUUACCAAGGCAACGAGGCAUAGCCGACCUGAGAGGGUGGUAGGCCACACUGGAACUGAGACACGGUCCAGACUCCUGCGGGAGGCCGCAGUAGGGAAUCUUACGCAAUGGGCGAAAGCCUGACGGAGCAACGCCGAGUGAGUGAUGAAGGUCUUCGGAUCGUAAAACUCUGUUAUUAGGGAAGAACAUAUGUGUACGUAACUGUGCACAUCUUGACGGUACCUAAUAAGAAAGCAACGGCUAACUACGUG
rnacentral:rRNA from 1 species